rnacentral:rRNA from 1 species
CCUACGGGAGGCAGCAGUGAGGAAUAUUGGUCAAUGGACGAGAGUCUGAACCAGCCAAGUAGCGUGAAGGAUGACUGCCCUAUGGGUUGUAAACUUCUUUUAUAUGGGAAUAAAAUGUUCCACGUGUGGGAUUUUGUAUGUACCAUAUGAAUAAGGAUCGGCUAACUCCGUGCCAGCAGCCGCGGUAAUACGGAGGAUCCGAGCGUUAUCCGGAUUUAUUGGGUUUAAAGGGAGCGUAGGUGGAUUGUUAAGUCAGUUGUGAAAGUUUGCGGCUCAACCGUAAAAUUGCAGUUGAAACUGGCAGUCUUGAGUACAGUAGAGGUGGGCGGAAUUCGUGGUGUAGCGGUGAAAUGCUUAGAUAUCACGAAGAACUCCGAUUGCGAAGGCAGUUCACUGGACUGCAACUGACACUGAGGCUCGAAAGUGUGGGUAUCAAACAGGAUUAGAUACCCGUGUAGUA